rnacentral:lncRNA from 1 species
UUGUAUUUCAUUUAAUUUCUCAUUAAGGCUUAUGACUUCCAUAAACAUUUGGCUAAUGCCAUCAAAUAGUACUCGAUGACACCUUGAUCAGAGGCGUACACUCGAGCCUACCAAGGCUGUUAAAAUUUCGUAUACACGUAAAACAUAUUCUUUUUAGUUUGAAAAACACAACCAUUCCUUGGCGUUAGCUGAGUUCAUCAUAACGAGGUGGUUCGGCGUGACGUGAACUCUGUCCAUACCUCAGGAGAUACCCUAUGCGCCUCUCCGACCGAGGUACAUAUAUAUAUCCGGAUUCCGUGCCCCUCUAAUAGGCUGGUCCACAGAAUCCGCCUACUGCAGCAAGCUAAACCCACCAUACAAUAAAAUUUUGACAGCAUGACAGGGCUAAUAUUUUAAUACACAGCCUGCAAGGGUAAAAUAAAACAAUUCAUACAAUUCAUAAAACACAGCCCAGCCAAUCAUGCCAACACAAUAACAAUAUAACAUAAGCCAUCAAUUUCCAAUCAUAAAUUUAUAACAGACCGAUGGUCUCCAAUUACUCUAUUUUCAAAAUCUUUAUUUAAUUUCAAGACAAUUUAUAAAAUCUUUUCAUGUAAACACAUUCUGUUUGUAAAACACAAAUAUUUACCAUUUAAACUCAUUUUCAUAAAUUUUCAUUAAAACUGAUUAAAAACAUACUUUAGAUAAUUAAAAUGAUGGUAAGGUUACUCACAGUACUAGGAGUUCGAUAUACUCAUAUUCCCGGUCUUCGGGCACAAUCUCUCUACCCUUGUUAGAGGGCUCAUCACAUAUACAUCAAACAUGACACGAAUUUCAAUAAAUUGUGUCAAUUUAUCAUAAACUAUUUCAGGCUCUCUAAAUCUAAAUGAAUGCAUGCGAUGGGAUGCAAAAUGUCUGAUUAAUCACCUAAAUGUGAUAUUCAACCUAAGUCACACUAUACUCGGCCUAAUCGGCUAAAAUCUCCAAUUUAACUCCAAAUCAAUUCUUCUCACUUUCUACACUCCAAUUAUACUUAAAUUACCUCAAUGACUGUGAAUGAGAUUCAAUUUAUUAAUCUCGGGUCAAUAAUCACACAUGUCUAUACAUUAGGUAAAAAUUCGAAUUUUCACAGCAAAAUUUCCUAUUUAAUUUCUAGCCUCACCAAAUAUCAAAUAUCACCCAAAUAUCAUGAAAUAUCAUCAAUUUCAGCCACAAUAUCUUCCCUAGAAAAUUCGGCCAAUGAUGGUGAUGGGGGAAAAUGAAUUCUUUUCUUUUUGUUUUGUUUCUAAAUAUGCUAAACUAGCUAAAAACACUAACAUAACUUAAAAUCAAAUCAAUCCAACAUCUUUCUCUCUCCAUACCCAUUUUGACCAGCCAUGAAUUCACCAUGAAAACAUGAAAUCUAACCAUGGAAAAUAAGGAGAAAUGCAUGGGAAAGGUAGAUCACAAGUCAAAAUCAAGAAAUUUUACCUUUGAUUACUUGAUUCCUUGAAAUCCACCAAUUUUUCUUCAAUUUUCCCACCUAGGGUUCUUG